GGGAUGUGGCUCAGUGAUAGAGUGUUUGCUUGGCAAGCAGGAAGCCCUGGGUUCAGUCCCCAGUACCUCCCA
rnacentral:tRNA from 1 species